CCUACGGGUGGCAGCAGUGAGGCAUAUUGGUCAAUGGGCGCGAGCCUGAACCAGCCAAGUAGCGUGAAGGAUGACUGCCCUACGGGUUUUAAACUUCUUUUAUAAAGGACUAAAGUGAGGCUCGUCUGCCUUUUUGUAUGUACUUUAUGAGUAAGGAUCGGCUAACUCCUUGCCAGCAGCCGAGGGAAUACGGAGGAUCCGAGCGUUAUCCGGAUUUAUUGGUUUUAAAGGGAGCGUAGAUGGGUUGUUAAGUCAGUUGUGAAAGUUUGCGGCUCAACCGUAAAAUUGCAAUUGAUACUGGCAGUCUUGAGUACAGGUGAGGUAGGCGGAAUUCGUGGUGUAGCGGUGAAAUGCAUAGAUAUCACGAAGAACUCCGAUUGCGAAGGCAGUUUACUAAACUGCCACUGACAUUGAUGCUCGAAAGUGUGGGUAGCAAACAGGAUUAGAUACCCGGGUAGUC
rnacentral:rRNA from 1 species